rnacentral:rRNA from 1 species
UUAAAAAGCUCGUAGUUGAACCUUGGGUCUGGCUGAUCUGUCCUCCUAAUCGAGCGCACGGAUUCGGUCGGACCUUUCCUUCUGGGGAGCCUCAUGCCUUUCACUGGGCGUGGUGGGGAACCAGGACUUUUACCUUGAAAAAAUUAGAGUGUUCAAAGCAGGCCUUUGCUCGAAUACAUUAGCAUGGAAUAAUAGAAUAGGACAGAGGUUCUAUUUUGUUGGUUUCUAGGACCGCUGUAAUGAUUAAUGGGGAUAGUCGGGGG